rnacentral:tRNA from 1 species
GCAUCGAUGGUUUAGUGGUAAAAUCCAGGCUUCCCAUGCCUGGGCCCCGGGUUCGAUUCCCGGUCGAUGCA